GUCCACGCUGUAAACGAUGAGUACUAGCUGUAUGGGGUAUCGACUCCCUAUGUAGCGAAGCUAACGCAAUAAGUACUCCGCCUGGGGACUACGGCCGCAAGGCUAAAACUCAAAGGAAUUGACGGGGGCCCGCACAAGCAGCGGAGCGUGUGGUUUAAUUCGAAGUUACGCGAAGAACCUUACCAGGGCUUGACAUGGCGCGGACCGCCCGGGAAACCGGGCUUCCCUUCGGGGCCGCGUCACAGAUGCUGCAUGGCUGUCGU
rnacentral:rRNA from 1 species